CGCCACGGGCCACGUGACUUGGCAGGCCGGGAGCGGAGGGAAAGGGGGGGGACUCGUGCCCCUCCUGGGGGACCCCCGCGGCGUGGACCCACUAGUCAGGACCACCCGGGCCGGAAGCCGGGGAGCGGAAACCGGCAAAAGCAGCGCUGGCGAACGAUGCGGCUGCACUUUCUCUGGUCCCUGGGUCUGGACAACAGGUCCAGGGCAGGGUGAGCCCUGCUCGACCCGUGUGUGGGUCUGACUACCCGAAGAGAGCACGGAGUCCCCAGGAUCUGGAGAUCCUUCAAGCCAAGGCCUACAUCUCGCUCACCAUCAUCCCCACUGCUGAGCCAAGUACACUUAGGAAUCCUUCAGAUUAAGCUUUUGGUCCUGUUCAACAAACAUUUGCUAUGUUCUGUGGAAUAAGAAAACUGAAAACUGCCUCAGGACCUGCCCCACGAUGUUCUCUUUAUAGAAAUAUAUUAAAAUAUGGUAACUGUAGCUCACUUUAGUCAAGUAUGUGCCAAACAGUAGACAUAAAUGAGCUUCCACAGGGGAGGAGAAG